rnacentral:pre_miRNA from 1 species
CUUGUACUCCCUCCGUCCGAAAAUACUUGUCAUUGAAAUGGAUGAAUCUAGAUGUAUUUUAGUUCUAGACACAUCCAUUUUGAUGACAAGUAAUUCCGGACAGAGGGAGUACUUG